UGAUCUUGGAUGGAAUCUAACCACCGUUUCACGCUUUUCAGGCGUGCGCUUUAACAUUAAGCCACAAGAUC
rnacentral:tRNA from 1 species